AUUAUGAAGUUUUUGGCCAAAAUCACGUUACCUGUGUCAUUUUCAAGGACUUUCCUUCUGCAGAGCUCUGGCAGCUCAUUAGCAAUUCGUCUCUGAAUCUUUGGCGGAGAAAGCGCUGCUCUGCACACUCCUCUUCAUGCUAGCUUACAGCCUGACAUUGCUGGUGUAGUAGAAGUGGCAGGUAACAUAGGAGCUAUUCAAGCUCUUGGACACUAAUGUCUUUGGAGGCAUAGUGUAAGCUUAUAUAAUAAUUAGCCUUUUUUACGUGCACUGCAACCCAGUAACACACGCUUGUCCUUUCUAUUUCUCUGAGUCUAGCCUGCAUGGCAGGGCUCCGGGGGUGGAGCUUGCAAUUGUGACGUAGGAAAUCUCACUAUGUCUGAACCUGCCAUUUGGGUCUGCCAGAGAUUCACAAAAUACAGAAAUACUCAGAAAUUCAAUUUGGCACUUACUUUCCUCAUGAUAUGUACUAUAGCAUCAGAAAAAUGCCAUAUGAACAUGUAGACCACUAAAAAAAACAAACACGAUUUUCAUCGGAGUGGGUCAUUAACCUUAGAUUCCUUACUUGAAAAAAGAACAUUGCCUUUUUCUCAAGAAUUCUGACUUCUUUCUCAGAAUUCUGAUAUUAAAAAUGAAAUUUUGAGUUCUAAAAAAAUUGCAAUUUUGACUUUUUUAUAAAUUGGUUUAAAACUUGUAAUGAUGACUCUAAAUAAGGAAUUUUAACAUCUUUAAUCAAGGCUCUGACCAUCAGCUAUGUUACAUGCAUGUUUUUGCUUUUGACAUUAGGAUGACUGUCUGGUGAGAAACUUUUGUUAACUGAGGAAGUGACAGUGAAUUUAGACAGCUAUUUUGUUCCCACAUUCUCACUUAUCUGCAGGAGAAAUCCCUUCAGACCAGCCUUCAAUCAUUGCUCCCUUUUAUUAAAAUGCUCAUUAUCAGACAUCAGAGCUCUGUUACAAGGUACAGACUGUCAGUUUGAACGAGCUGUUUAUGAAAGCCGAUGCUGUCUUUGGCAUUAACGCUCUCUCUCUCUCUCUCUCUCUCUCUCUCUCUCUCUCUCUCUCUCUCUCUCUCUCUCUCUCUCUCUCUCUCUCUUUCGCUCUCUCUCUCUCUCUCUUUCUCUCUCUCUUCUUACUGUAUUCUCUCAUGUGUCUCACACCAUUUUACUGAUGCAGUGACUCUACAGCUGCUUCAUGAAUCUAAAGCAAAUUUGUCCAGGCGCAUUAGGUUAUUUAUGUUUCAUCCACCAUACAGUCCUGAUGGGGCCUUUCCUUCCCUUCCCUGUGUGUGUGUGUGUGUUUGUCUCUAACCUUUUUAGAGUUCUGUGGUUAUGUAUAUGUAGGCAUUAGAACAUGCACAGUAAAGUCAAGCUGCAUUGGGCAUUUUAACUGGACCACUGUCUUUGUCCCAGUUUCAAUGCACGGGGCAAAAUUACUGAUAGAAGAGUGUCCACCUCUGCUAUGGUACUCAAUAUCAGUGGUGAACAAACUACACAACUCCAUUACUUGAGUGAAAGAUAAAUACCCCUGGUCAAAUUUUACUCCAAUACAAGUGAAAGUUGUGUGGUCAAAUUUAAGUUGGGGUCCAAAGUACUGGAGGAAAUGCUUUUGAAAAUACUUAAGUAUUAAGAGUACAUUUUUGUUAUUAUAUCAAUGCGUUAUCGUAUUGUGGCCACAAUAAAUUUACAGACCCUAACGACUGACACAACCCACUGAAUACAUUGACUCAGAUCGAGAGAAAAAAAA
rnacentral:lncRNA from 1 species